GACCGGUAGGUGAGGCUACACGGGGAUACGGAUUGCUACCGCAAAAAUGUGGAGACACAUUCGGACACAGGUGAUCAGGACUUGUCGAAUCCAAGGCAUGGCCUAAUGCAAUUUCAUUGCCCAGUGACGCUAAAGCUUGU
rnacentral:sRNA from 1 species